rnacentral:rRNA from 1 species
CCUACGGGUGGCAGCAGUGAGGAAUCUUUGUCAAUUGGCGCGAGCCUGAACCUGCCAAGUCGCGUGAAGGAUUACUGCCCUACGGGUUGUAAACCUCUUUUAUAAAGGACUAAAGUGAGGCACGUGUGCCUUUUUGUAUGUACUUUAUGAAUAAGGAUCGGCUAACUCCGUGCCAGCAGCCGCGGUAAUACGGAGGAUGCGGGGGUUAUCCGGAUUGAUUGGGUUUAAGGGGUGCGUAGGGGGUUCGUUAUGUCAGUGGUAAACGUGAGGGGUCCAACCCCUUCCCGCCAUUGAUACUGGCGGUCUAGAGUGGAAGAGAAGUAUGCGGAAUGCGUGGUGUAGCGGUGAAAUGCAUAGAUA